GAGGAAUAUUGGUCAAUGGACGGAAGUCUGAACCAGCCAAGUAGCGUGCAGGAUGACGGCCCUAUGGGUUGUAAACUGCUUUUAUGUGGGGAUAAAGUGAGCUACGUGUAGUUUAUUGCAGGUACCACAUGAAUAAGGACCGGCUAAUUCCGUGCCAGCAGCCGCGGUAAUACGGAAGGUCCAGGCGUUAUCCGGAUUUAUUGGGUUUAAAGGGAGCGUAGGCCGUGGAUUAAGCGUGUUGUGAAAUGUAGACGCUCAACGUCUGAAUUGCAGCGCGAACUGGUUCACUUGAGUAUGCACAACGUAGGCGGAAUUCGUCGUGUAGCGGUGAAAUGCUUAGAUAUGACGAAGAACUCCGAUUGCGAAGGCAGCUUACGGGAGCACAACUGACGCUGAAGCUCGAAGGUGCGGGUAUCAAACAGGAUUAGAUACCCUGGUAGUCCGCACAGUAAACGAUGGAUGCCCGUUGUUAGUUCACUUAUGAAUUAGCGACCAAGCGAAAGCAUUAAGCAUCCCACCUGGGGAGUACGCCGGCAACGGUG
rnacentral:rRNA from 1 species